rnacentral:lncRNA from 1 species
UUUAUACCAUGUACUGAAUAAUGUGGGCUUUUCCUAGUGGGUGACAUUGAAUUAUUUUAAAUUGGCAAUAAAACAAUUAAGCUAGUUAUUUUGAAAGACUUCCGUGGCAGCAACAUGGAAGCUGCAUUACAGGAAUGUAAAAUUUCAAAUCAAAAUUGCUACAUGAUGAUUUCAACAAACUUGUUGAGUUAGACUAUAAGAAAAAGGAAAGCUCGAGCAUCCAAAAAUUCAAUUAGUUUUGAUCAUAGGCAAAUGAGAUACAGACAUAAAAAUAUUUUGCUCUCCUAGAUGGAAAAGUAUACUUGAUAGUCUUCUUCAAAAGAUUUUACAAUCAGUUGUUAAGGGACUGGCACAUGGGACAUUUGGGAACCAGUUCUUUGACUUCUUCCUUUGCCAAUGUAAAGACAGAAUGUAAAACCUUUGAUGAACAUUCUUGUGAAACAAACUUAACCUGUUAAACAUCUCAACUGAAAAAAUAUCUUGUUAUGCUAUAUUCUUAUUCACAGC